rnacentral:lncRNA from 1 species
CGACGGGGUGCCUGCAUCAAACCGUAAAUCGACCGCGCUGCGCCGCGAAGGGGACCGUAGCUUCGACUCCCAGGGCAGCUGUGGGUGUGUGGUGCGUGGGUGGUGUGGUGUGUAGGUGAGAACGGUAUUAAUGUGGGGAAGCAGUGGCGAGCACUCAGUUACAUUACAGGUGUGACGGAGGGUGGCUUAGUAGCAAGCCACAGCCAGCAGUGCAUGUGAUCAGGUGCACGUGGGAGGCGAGUAUCCUGCUACUAGACUAAUGGCGCAGAGCCUACCUCUCCGCGCAAUUCCGCCAACACAGCCAGCAUACAGCCCACACAUCCUAAAUGCCGUCUCAUGGGGCACUUGUCGCUGACCUGGACUUGGCACUCGGGGGCGUUACUGAGUGCUGGACAUGCAAGGUACUAGCCUUUCUUACUAGCGUAGGAGCGGAUUCCCCCACCAACUAAUACGCACAGUGAUGAUCUCAUAGCGCAUUACGCCACCCUUGAAUUGCCAGUUGAGAGCAUUCGUUAGGUAUUUGCCAAGCGGCUUGAUGCGCGAUGGGAGUGUCCGAAUACCCUAGUUGACCCCCGCGUUUUCCCCAUAGGGAUUAACUGGAUGGAAGUGGCCCCGCCUAGGGGUGCGCCUCUCGAUUGGUUAGAGCACACUCAAGUGACCAUGCCCCAGCGUCUGCAUCAAGUGCUCAUGUGUGUCCGGUUAGGCUGUUGGGAGUUACAGGUUAAUAGGCCUAUCUGGGCAACAUGCUGGAGAACGUACACGCUGCGCAUGUGGCAUGUUCAAUGCUGUCACCCACGUUCGCCCCUGGUGCUCUUACCAGUCGUGGGUGCAUGUUUUUGCCUUUGGGCAGAAGGUUUACGGGCAGGAACGAGGUCUUGCACAACGCUGCGCGAUUAUCCGGCCCGCCGACGUCUAGAGCCAGACUUACAGGUAACGUAGACAUGCAGGUCAGUGUUUCGAGUACGUGUAAAAUGCAUCCAAAACGAUCUUUGUGUGCGCCAUCCGGGAUUUGCACCCGGGCCGCUCGCGAAUCUCCGAUCAGGUGCACGUGGGAGGCGAGUAUCCUGCUACUAGACUAAUGGCGCAGAGCCUGCCUCUCCGCGCAAUUCCGCCAACACAGCCAGCAUACAGCCCACACAUCCUAAACACCGUCUCAUGGGGCAUUUGUCGCUGACCUGGACUUGGCACUCGGGGGCGUUACUGAGUGCUGGACAUGCAAGGUACUAGCCUUUCUUACUAGCGUAGGAGCGGAUUCCCCCACCAACUAAUACGCGCGGUGAUGAUCUCAUAGCGCAUUACGCCACCCUUGAAUUGCCAGUUGAGAGCAUUCGUUAGGUAUUUGCCAAGCGGCUUGAUGCGCGAUGGGAGUG